CUGGCUAAACAUUCAAACAUGUUUGUCAAACAUUGCGUUUGACUUGAAUGUUUGUAUGUUUAGCCA
rnacentral:pre_miRNA from 1 species